rnacentral:lncRNA from 1 species
UUUUUUUAUGGGUUAUGACAGAUUCUAUAACAAAUUUUGAUGAAGGUUCUAUGACAGUUUUUUUUUUCCGAGUAGCGACAUAGUGAUUUUUUUUUACUUGUUACGACAAUUUUUUUUUUAGAUUAUGACAGGUUUAUUACUAUGUUAUGCGAGAGAUUUGUAUAAGGUGUAGCGACAGACAUUUUUAAGAGUAAGUGUUAAGUUUGCCAUACAAAGCCGUAAAAACAAUAUUAGGGUUUUUGGAAGUUA